rnacentral:rRNA from 1 species
UCCGUAGGUGAACCUGCGGAAGGAUCAUUAGUGAAUAUAGGAUGUCCAACUUAACUUGGAGUCCGAACUCUCACUUUCUAACCCUGUGCAUUUGUUUGGGAUAGUAGCCUCUCGGGGUGAACUCCUAUUCACUUAUAAACACAAAGUCUAUGAAUGUAUUUAAUUUAUAACAAAAUAAAACUUUCAACAACGGAUCUCUUGGCUCUCGCAUCGAUGAAGAACGCAGCGAAAUGCGAUAAGUAAUGUGAAUUGCAGAAUUCAGUGAAUCAUCGAAUCUUUGAACGCACCUUGCGCUCCAUGGUAUUCCGUGGAGCAUGCCUGUUUGAGUGUCAUGAAUACUUCAACCCUCCUCUUUUCUAGUGAAAGAGAAGGUGCUUGGUUUCUGAGCGUUUUGCUGGCCUCACGGUCGAGCUCGCUCGUAAUGCAUUAGCAUCCGCAAUCGAACUUCGGAUUGACUUGGCGUAAUAGACUAUUCGCUGAGGAAUUCUAAUCUUCGGAUUAGAGCCGGGUUAGGUUAAAGGAAGCUUCUAAUCCUAAUGUCUAUAUUUUAAGAUUAGAUCUCAAAUCAGGUAGGACUACCCGCUGAACUUAAGCAUAUCAAUAAGCGGAGGAAAAG